UGCAGGAGCAGGGGAGGGGGGAGGACUGGAGGAGGAGGAGGCAGACACAGAGAGGCAGCGAGAACCUGCAAUCCAGGCAGCGCCGCCUCUGCCUUUCAAUCCGCAGCCAUCCUGCUCCCUGAGCCCCCAUCUACCCUCCUGACUCGGCUCCCCAGGCAGACCCGGCUCCCGACAACCACCACAGGCAGAUCAGGAGCGGCGCAGAGAAAUUUCCUUACUAGAUGACAUUUAAUCGCAAUGUCCGAUCGUUUGGGGCAAAUAACCAAGGGAAAGGAUGGGAAAAGCAAGUACUCAACUCUCAGCCUGUUUGAUAAGUAUAAAGGAAAGUCAAUAGAAGCUAUCAGAACUACAGUUAUUCCUAGACAUGGCUUACAGAGUCUCGGGAAAGUUGCUGCUGCCCGGCGCAUGCCACCUCCUGCAAACUUGCCAAGCUUGAAGUCUGAGAACAAAGGAAACGACCCCAACAUCAUUAUAGUACCCAAGGACGGUACAGGAUGGGCAAACAAGCAGGAUCAGCCAGACCAAAAGAGUUCCAGUGCGACGGCUGCACAGCCGCAGGAGUCGCUGCCGCAGCAGGGUUUGCAGAAAUCUGUCUCCAAUUUACAGAAGCCGACACAGUCAAUCAGUCAAGAGAGUACAAAUUCAGUGCCAGGUGGACCAAAGUCAUGGGCACAGCUGAAUGGAAAGCCAGCAGGACGAGAAGGUGGUUCAAGGGCCUCAAACCGACUGUUAUCCUUCUCUCCCGAGGAAUUUCCGACGCUGAAAGCAGCUGGCGAGCAGGACAAGGCUGGCAAAGAAAAGGGCGCCUUAGAUCUGUCGUAUGGGCCAGGACCAAGCCUCCGCCCCCAGAAUGUCACGAGUUGGAGGGAGGGCGGUGGGAGGAACAUUACCUCUGCCACAUCUCUGACCGCCUCCCCUCCUGAGCCGGGCAGCAAGACCUCUAACACAGGAGAUGGAGCCCCCUCCUCAGUGAAUACCAGCGAUCCUAAGGAGCCCUCUCUCCGCCCGGCUCAACCUAUCCGUAAAGGGGCUUCACAGUUCAUGGGAAAUGCGUACCAUCCGCCUACGUACCAUGACAUGCUACCUGCUUUUAUGUGUCCACAGCAGCCAUCUGAGGUCCCUGCAUCACUGGACCGUGGGUCUUUUCCUCUUCCUCAGCUUCGACUUGAGCCCCGUGUUCCUUUCAGACAAUACCAGAUGAAUGACCAAGAUGGAAAAGAGAAUAGACCUGGGGCAGCUCGUCCAGCUCGUCCAGUUCGGCAGCAAGGAGAGCGGGCUCCCCGGCCCACCAUUAUCAACGCAGAAAACUUGAAGGAACUGGAUGAACUAGACAAUGAUGCAGAUGAUGGUUGGGCAGGCAUACACGAUGAAGUGGAUUACUCUGAGAAACUGAAGUUUAGCGAAGAUGAGGAAGAGGAAGAUGCUCUUAAAGAUGGAAGACAGAAAUGGAACAGCUGGGACCCCAGAAGGCAGCGCCAGCUGUCUCUGAGCUCCGCUGACAGUGCAGAUAUUAAACACUCCCUGGAGGAAGGAAAGAACUGGGGUGACUCCGCUGGUUUGUCUCGGUCAGUUCAUAAGGUGCAAGGCCCCCAGCAGCCUUCAAGGAAGUUGAAUGGCUGGACCCCUGCAUCAGAAUAUCAGAAGCCUCCACUGGGGGGUAUUCUCAGACAGCAGUCCUUGGAGGAUAAAGAAGAAAAGGUGCCCCCGAGGCAGAAGUUUGUCCACUCUGAAAUCUCAGAAGCCGUUGAGCGAGCCAGGAAGCGGCGUGAGGAGGAAGAGCGCCGUGCCAGAGAGGAACGCCUGGCUGCCUGUGCUGCCAAACUCAAGCAGCUGGAUCAGAAAUGCAAACUGGCUCAGAAAAUAGGAGAAACCCACAAACACGUGGAGAAUGAAGAUCUGAAGCCCCCAGGUGUGGAAAAGAAGGUGGCUCAAGAGAAUAGUCAGUCAUUCCAUAGAGCUACUUCUGAAUUUCAUGCACAGGAUGUCUCUGCUGGUUACCUAGAAGAGGAAACCACAGCCACAGCAGUAGCUGCCCAAAACAGCAGUGAGGAGGAGCUUAGAGAAGCCACAUCCCCAGCACAGGAGUUCAACAAAUAUCAGAAAUCACUUCCUCCAAGAUUUCAGAGGCAGCAACAGCAGCAGGAGCAGCUGUACAAGAUGCAGCACUGGCAGCAACAGCAGGUUUAUCCUCCACCAUCCCAUUCCCACCCUCAGCGUACGUUCUACCCGCCACACCCUCAGAUGCUUGGCUUUGAUCCUCGCUGGAUGAUGAUGCCAUCCUACAUGGAUCCUCGUAUGGCUCAGAGCCGCACCCCAGUCGAUUUUUACCCUUCGUCCCUUCAUCCUUCAGGAAUUAUGAAGCCCAUGAUUCAGCGGGACUCCAUCAAUGGGAACGGCUGUAGGUCUGAAGAGCAGAACUGUCAGCCAUCAGUGCAACCAGAAAGGAAAGCUGCCUCUAUGGACCCUGCCCCAGUGUGGGGACAGGAAAGCUAUGCAUCUCUGCAGAGCAAAGGGUACCCACUGCCACAUCAAAAACAGACUGAGAACAUGACGAUGGAGGGACUGCAUACCAGGAGUGACAGCUCUUACUCUGCCUCAUCGGGAAGGUCAGAGGGCAUAAAUGCCCAGCGCGAUCUCUUUGAGGAGAGAGGGGAUGAGUACUUAAACACUUUUGACAAGAAAGCCCAAGCUGACUUUGACAGCAGUAUAUCUUCUCAAAGAAUAGGCCAGGAUCUUUUGUUUCAGCACCAGGAGUCCGUGCAGGAGGCAUGCGUUUCUGGUGCUCGCCAUGCAAGCUUACGGUGUUCUCCCUUAGAGUCUGACUUGAUACAAUCUGAUAAAAAAUCUGAGUACAAUGGCUGGGACAUCAACCACCAUCAGAAAAACUCAGAGGCUGCAGCAGAGGCGGAUGAAGAAGUGCCUAGGGGUGAGCAGUCGUUCAGUGCUGACCCAUGGAAGAAAGAAGGCUCUGCCACUAAACAGCCUGCUGAAGAGACAGAUUGGGUCCCCGAGAACAGAAACACCAAUAAUCAGCAGCAGGAGCAAAUGGGGAGGACACGGAGAUCUGGCCCAAUUAAAAAACCAGUUCUGAAAGCCCUCAAGGUUGAGGAAAAGGAGAAAGAGCAGGAAAAGAUUAAACUGGAAGGAGAAGAGAUCUCACACCCAGCAAAAGAGAAGACACCUGUAUAUAAGUUGGACAAUGAUUCAGAAGAUUCAUCAGCCUUACUGAACUCCACUCAUUACCUGCUGGAUGAAAAGGGUUCUUCCCAAGUCAGCUUCACCCAAGAUACUGAGAAAUCUCAGGAGGAAGAGGAGGAGGAGGAGGAGGAGGAAGAGGAGGAGAAGGCUGAGAGAGCAUGGGAGAAUAAGCCACCCAGAGAGUCUAAUGACCUCCCUCCCACAAAAAGAAACAACUGGAUCUUUAUUGAUGAGGAACAAGCCUUUGGUGGGAGAGGCCGAGGAAGAGGCAGAGGCUUCAGAGAGUUCACUUUCAGAGGCCGUGGCACUGCUGUUGGUGGCAGGGGGGUUUAUAACAACCAAAGAAGCAGCAGAGGACGUGGUCUCCGAGAGUUCAGUCAGCUGGAAGACUUCUCAAGGGGCAAGCCCAGACGCCGGAUUGCCAGUGAGACACAUAGUGAGGGGUCUGAAUAUGAGGAGCUUCCCAAGCGACGCCGGCAGAGGGGUUCUGAAAACAGUAAUGAAAGCUCCCUCCUGGAGAGGGAGGAGAGUGACCCGAAGAAGGGAGACUUCAGAGAUUCUUGGAGGUCCAAUAAAAUCUACUCUGAUGAUCACAGCAGCCUUGAUGCCAAGGUAAGGGGCCCAAGAGCCUUUGGGAGGUCGCUGCCCCCACGACUGAGCAACUCUGGGUAUGGGCGAAGAGGCUUUGUGGCAAAGGAGCCUUCCCAGUGGCAGGGCAGAAGUGGGGGAACCAUGUGGCAGGAGUACACCCACUGCCCGCUGCCGGACACGUUUGGGAUCAGGCGACAGUCUGACAAGGAUUAUAUCCAAGAUUCUUACAAGCACACAGACUCCUUCACUGGCAGGGGUUUUGAGGAGAAUCACAUUGACAACAGAAGGCACUUGUUCCAGGAGGAUUACGCUGCAGACCAAGAGAACAUAGAAAACAGGCCAUUCAGGAGGCGGCGUCCCCCUCGUCAAGACAAGCCCCCCCGAUUCAGGCGCCUGAGACAAGAGAGAGAAUCUGUGGGCCAGUGGAACCCUGAGGAAGGUGGAGCUAGCCUGUUGCCCAGCCAAUGGCCGGGGAGACCCAAGCUGACCACGGUGGAGAAGAAUGUCUCUAGCAGGAGGUCUCCUGAGCUGUCCUAUCAGAACUCGUCAGACCAUGCCAAUGAGGAGUGGGAGACCGCAUCCGAAAGCAGCGACUUCAGUGAGCGGCGGGAGAGGCACGACGGAGUCUUGGAGAGCGAAGUGCCGCUGGACAGCAGCCUUGCCGGUGCCAGCUUGGGAGAGAAGAGAGAGCUGGCAAAGAGGAGUUUCUCGAGCCAGAGGCCCCUUGUGGACAGGCAGAGCCGCAAGGCAGAACCAGCAGGGUUUGGGGAGCAUUUGGUAAGAGCCAGUGGAGGAGCUGCUUCCCGGUACGAGAGCCAGCAGAAUGGAAUGCCAAUGAAAAGCAAAAGGUCUCCAGAAGAAGGUGGGGGUCUGGGUAACACCAAAGGUGGGAGUAGCCACUCUGUUUACAGCCUAGAGAGAUCAUCGCGCACCAGCUCCGACAAUGCUGAGGGGCCAGGUAAAAAGCAGGAAAAAGAGCCUAAAUCUACAGCCCAGAGAUCAAGCGACAAGGGCGAGACCAUGUCACAGUUUGAGUUGAAUUAUGGAAAUGCCAUCAUUGACAAUCGGGUUUCAAGCACAACUGAGGAGAAUGAAGUGGGCUCGCUGGCAGGAGAAGGCUUCAUUGAGGUCCUCACUAAGAAGCAACGCCGCUUGCUGGAAGAAGAACGUAGGAAGAAAGAACAAGCUGCCCAGGGACCAGCCAAAGGACGUGUCCUUCAGUCUCGUAUCCCGCCUCGAUUUGCUAAGAAGCAGAACAGUAUGUGCCUGGAGCAAGGCGAUGUAACUGUAUCCGGAAGCAGCCUGGGCACAGAGAUCUGGGAGAGCAAUAGUUCAGCCCUCUCCGUUCAGUCACCAGGCAGCGAUUCCUGGAGUAAGCCUGUGAAUGCCUUUAACGGCACUGAAUCUAGUUCCACAGAGCAGGGUUUUAAAGGCAGCCAGGGGGAUAGUGGCAUUGACUUGAGUGCGGAGUCUCGGGAAUCUUCCGCUACCUCCUCUCAGCGCAGUUCUCCAUAUGGCACCCUCAAACCAGAGGAGAUGAAUGGGGCUGGCCUGGUGGACCCAAAGCCUGACUGCCAGAAGGAGCAAGUUCAGAAGCAAUCUGAUAAAAAGGAUUCAGACCAAGGCUCAGGACAGAACAAGGAACACAAGCCCGGACCCAUCGGCAAUGAACGCUCCCUGAAAAACAGAAAGGGUUCGGAGGGAACGGAACGGCUGGAAGGGAAUAUCCCCCCUGUUAAUGGGGUGGAAAUUCACGUGGACUCAGUUCUUCCUGUGCCACCCAUUGAAUUUGGAGUAAAUCCUAAAGACUCUGACUUCAGUUUGCCUCCUGGUUCUGCCUCCAGUAAUGCAGCAAACCCUGUUGCCAAACUGCAGGAUGCCUUGGCCAGUAAUGGAGGGUUAACUCAGUCCAUUCCCAUUCUGCGAAGAGACCACCAUCUCCAGCGGUGCAUCGGCCUGAAUCCAAUGUCCUUCCCCACAGCAGACCUUACUCUUAAGAUGGAAUCUGCACGCAAGGCUUGGGAGAACUCUCCUAAUUUACCGGAACAGAACUCUCCAGGAGGUGCUGGCUCAGGCAUCCACCCUCCUUCCAGUGUCGGUGCUUCCAGUGGUGUGAGCUACAGCUCUUUUGGUGGUGUUUCUAUGCCUCCUAUGCCUGUGGCGUCCGUAGCACCUUCUGCAUCGAUUCCAGGUAAUCACAUCCCACCCCUAUAUCUGGAUGGUCACGUGUUUGCGAGUCAGCCACGUUUGGUCCCUCAGACAAUACCUCAGCAGCAGAGCUACCAACAGGCUGCCGCUGCUCAGCAGAUUCCGAUUUCCCUUCACACGUCUUUACAGGCCCAAGCUCAGCUUGGUCUGAGGGGAGGCCUGCCUGUCUCCCAGUCCCAAGAGAUCUACAGCUCCAUACAGCCCUUCAGGUCUCAGGUGUACAUGCACCCAAGUCUGUCCCAGCCCAGUACCAUGGUCCUGACGGGAGGUGCUGCACUAAAGCCCCCAUAUUCCGCCUUCCCAGGCAUGCAGCCCUUGGAGAUGGUAAAAACACAAUCUGGGUCCCCUUAUCAGCCAAUGAGUGGAAGCCAGACACUGGUUUACGAAGGCCAGAUAAACCAAGCGGCCAGCAUGGGAGCCUCACAGAUGAUGGAUUCCCAACUUACACAGAAGGGAUUGAAGCCUGUCAUGGAACGUAAAGCUGAGGCCAGUCUGAACCUUCCUGAUGUUCCAGUCCCUGAAAUCACAUCAGCAGAGGAGUUUAGCAGAUAUUUAGAUGUGGACAUCGAGCUGAAAUCAAAAGCUAACAAUGCCUAUGCCUGGGUCCCAGCUUCCUCUGCCCCGGUAUGGUUCUGGCCAGCAGCCACUGAUUUUACCACAGUCCAUCCAGCUUCCUCAGGGGCAGAAUCUGUCUGUAGGAGCUCCCCGCAGAAUUCUUCCACCUGGAUCUCAGCCUUCUGUCCUCACUACCAGCAGGGAGUCCUCCCAAAUGGAAAUGAAAGGGUUUCACUUCACAGAUGGUAAACAGAACAUGUCCUCCGGAGGAUCUGUACCAUCACCUCAUACUUACAGGCCUAACUCUGCCAGUCCCAGUGGGAAGACGUCUGGACCAGCAGUCAAUAUGGGUUCCAUGCAAGGACACUAUGUACAGCAGGCAAAACAGCGAGUGGAUGAAAAUAAAACCAACCUGGGAGCUAUAAAAUUGCAAGAACCAUCCUCCACAAACCAGAUGAAGCCAGUGCGCACAGGAGCGAUCAAGCCUCAAGCAGUAAAAGUGGAGGAAAGCAAGGCCUAGCACAGCCUAUGAUCACCAGCUACCAAGAGAGGCAUUGCAGCACAGCCUGUACCCCACUGGAAGUUAUGAAAAUCUGGCCAGAUCCACCAUCAACCCAAAACUGACUGACUGACACAACGUAAUCCAGGCCUCCUCUCAACAAAGCAGUUUGAAACAGCGGAUAUGACAUUUACCUGCUUGUUCAAAAACCAAACCAACCACUUGCUCCCACGUGACUAUUGAGUGGCUCAAGCCAUUUUUUUUUUCAUAUCCCGCCCACAGGUAGCCAGGAUAGUUAAUUUGGCAAACUCAUCCUUCUCCUUCCCUACAUCUGUCUCAGCAGAAUGGCAACAGGAGGAGGGGGUUAGUUGGAGGUUUUUCAUUUUAAAGGCAGCUGAGGUUUUUACAAAAGAAAAAAGCUAUAUCUUUGUUUAUUGCAAAACUUUUAUAUGUUCUCUCAUUUUCCCCUGCUCUCUGCCCCCUCAUUCCUCCUAGAAAAUAGCUCCGCAGCCAAUAUCGUAUUCUGAGACAGAAUCUGCUUAAUUUUAUAUACAGUUCUGUGCUACCUUGACAGUUGUGACUCUUUUAAAUUGAGAUUUUUGAGUGUUCCCCUCUCUCCUCCAGGAAGUUUAGCCUUCCAGCUUAUUUGAUUAAGAGAAAUACAGGACAGUUAAGGCAUUCAGUACUUAUUCAGUAUUUUUGUUUAAAGCUAGAAGCAGUGCUUGCUUUAGAAGUAAACGUGUAACAAAGGUAUACAGUAGACCAAUGCAUUAAUCUUGAAACUUGCACCACUUAAUUGUAGUUUUGGGGUGCCCUGUGCACAACAAAAUGUGAUGGUUUUGUUUUAAAGGAAAGACACUGAAUUUCUGUUGCAAGCUCACCUGGAUCUAGUUGUUUUUGUGGAUUGGGAUUUGUUUUGGAGACCGCAAAAUGCGAAAUCAUGGAUUUACAAAAUGUAAAAUCUGAUAACAAAUCUCCAUACCUUGCAUGGGUCAGAAGAGUUGGCUAGAACCAACGGGUCUAUUUGGACUACUUUUUGUAGUUGUGAUGCUCUCUCUCAGCUUCACCCUUGGCCGCUCUAAUUCUUUAUGCCUCCUUGCCUUGUGGGACUUCUCUGUUUUCCCAGGGGCUGCUCUUUGAGCUGCACUUUCCCUUCUUCUCCAGGUCUUGCUCUCUGCUUCUUUCUCAUCUUCACAGCUUUUUGCACAACUCCCAUGGACGCAAACCAAUGGGAACCCCCCUCUGCAUACAAGACAUAGUACAUAAAUUCAAUGUUUUUUGCAUCAGAAACUUAUGGUUACAUAGACAUAGUUUGGAUUUAUGUGUUCUCUCUUUCCCCAGACUAAUAACAAGUGCUUCUCUCCUUUUGGUGCAGUUGCAUACAGUGAGUAUGCACUUCCUCAAAAGAAUUUGGUGGUAUAUUAAAAAGGUCCCAAUGGGAAGGGUUUUGAGGUGAGCUUUUGUGUGUGUGUGUGCGUGCGUGUGUGCGUGCGUGUGUCUUACAGGACUGACUUGACAGUUCCUGAAGGUGCUUGGGUCCUAAUGCUGAUAAUGGUCUUAAGUUAGCUGGAGGUGGUUCAGUUUACUUGUUUGUACUGUUUAGCUCUUAGAAAACAAAGAAUGGACUGUUAUUCCAAAAUUAGGGAAGGAGAAUGUCACUUCUCUCUUAGAUGAUAGCUUACUGACUGUACCAUCUGCCCAUGUUAGAUGGCAGCAGGUAAAUUGCCGGUGGUUCCAAAGAAGACAUUUUGAACAAAGAAUGUAUUUGGGAAGUGGUCUCAAAGUGUUGUUUUUUUUUUCAGAAGAGAAGGUUCUCCAGGAAUUUCUAGAGAUGCAUUUGAAGUUUUAAGCUAGGUAGAAAUCAGGAUGUUUAUACAAUAACAUUAGAAAGAGCUUAGAAGGCUGAACUAACUUAGACAUAGUAAUGUCCCCUCAGAGCAUGUUAAAGAACCCUGAAGGGAUUGGGAUAGGUUGGUACUUUAAAAUAAAAACAAAAACAGAACUUUUUUUUUAUUUUGUGGAUUUUUAACUUUGCAGCAGUGUGUCAGCAUAUCUCUUGCAUUCAGAUCUUGAGAAUUAAUGACACAAAAAGCAUUCAGAAAUCUCCCAAACUUGUAUCCUCAUCUGCUAAAUCUUCAUUUCUGCUCCCAACAUUUUCCAAAGACUCCUCCUCCAGUGAGUCAUGUAUCUCCCUUCUAUCCCCAUCUCCCUCCCCAUCUUCACCUUGGAAUAUUGUGAGCAAUUGAAUUGGCUUGAAUUUCUUUAUUACAUUGUGCCCUUACCUUUCACUCCUUUCUUUGCCCAGCUGGCCCAAGAUAUCAAACCGGAGUCUAAUGGCUAAAGACUUAUCCAAGCCCCUCUUCCCUUUCCUUCCAUCUCUAGUCUUUUCAGAGACUCAGACCUUUUUCCUUCAUCAUAUAUGACUCUUGAAUGGCUCUAUGUGUUGGAGAAAUUAGGUUAUUGCUAGAUUUGUUUCAAUCCUUCUGUUGUAAAUGCCAUCAGAAUUAUAGUACUUCCUGUUGAAAAAGGCCAUCCCUCUUUUUCCUUUAUCCCCCUUCAUCCUCAAACAGAAUAAAACACUAAAAUUUAUUUAUAUGUAUUUGAUGUUGUAGGUCUAGGUGAAAAAAUAAAUGUUUCACUGCUCUAUUUAUAUAUUAUGUCUGAAUUAUUCUGUGCAGGAAAGGCCAAGAAAUGCAUGAGAGCUUCAUUCCAUUCAUCACCUUUGUGUGACUGUCAGCUGCAGUUGACAAGGCUUUCACUUAAUAGACUUUUGUCUGUUGGAAAGCAGUUUUAGAGCCCAAAAUUUUAACUGAAUCUUCCAUGUUAUUUGUUAUAGCUAGUACAAAGUUAGUGCAGUCUGUGAUGCUCUUGAGAGUCAAAUAAAUGGAACUGUCUCUAGUCUUCAGUGUGCAGAAAUGUAAAGGUUUUGGGCCCCAUCUCCAUUGCUGAAAAGUGGGCCCCCAUAAUGACGACGUUGAUGCUGAAAUUUGCCUUAUCUGCAAACUGACUGCCAAAUGUAAGCGGCCCCUGCUACUAGGACUGACACAGUUUGCAGUGGCAGGGAGAGGUGGAAUCCAAACUCUCACAACAGUUGGUUAAGCAGAAGUAUUCAGACACUGACUUUUUGUUCUGUAUUUUAACCAGACUGUUUAGCAGAAGACCUGAAACAUGUAUGUGUGUAAAUACUAUUCCAUUAUGCGCAGCAACUGCUGGCCUGUCAGCAUCAUUCAGUGCUGCCUGCUUUCCUGUGUUUGGUUUGCUUUUAGCUCUUUUAAAACAAAAAAUCAACCUGAGUUUUGAAAAAGAUUCCCUGUAUAUUUUAAAUAAAAAGUUAAUUCGGCACAGUCACCAGUGAAGCAGGUAUUGUUGUUGAUCUUUCACUUUUGGCUCUCCCAUUUGACAGCUGAACUGUAGUUAGUUACUCUUAAUGUGUUCUCACCCCAUUGAUUCUCAUAUGUGUUUGUGUACAUGCAGAGAGGUGCGCCAUUUAACAGAUUUCCUUGCAAGAAUGCUGCAGAGCUACAAGCUGCCCUGUGGUUCAUGUAUAUUUAUAUAGAUAUAUAAAAACAGAGCUUAGCAUUUCUGCUGUGUCUCACCUUUUGGCAAGCUACUAUAUUCACUUUUAAACAAGUACCACUCCAUGCUAAGAUCUGUUCUGCAGCAUUAUGUUAUCCUUCUGUUUUGCUCCUGACUGAUUAAGCACAGAUUAAUUCCUUGGAGGGUCAACUAUUUUUGGCAGACAGCCCCCACUUUCCUUGUAUGAAAGAUUUAUCUUAUAAGAAUUACAUUACAAAAGAAGCAAAAUCUUCUUAAUAUAGUUGCAGCCUAUUGAUGAGAGAUGAACAAAUUAGUAAACAAUGGAACUACUGGCUGUGAAGAGGCAGAACCAGUCCAACUAUGUAUUUUUGUUUUGUUUUUUUAAAAUCUUAAUGCCACCAAGACAUCCCAGGUGUCGUAGACAACUUUCUUGGAUAUAAUUUGUCUACACCUAGCCAGUAGCCUUGGGAAUCACAGCAGCAGCAAUGAGGCACUCACUUUUUAGCAUGUCAAGGCAUUGUUCUUAGUUGGAAUCCUUUCUCCUGGUUCCAUAUACAUUGCAUUCAUUGUUUCUCAAGGGAUAUUGUACUCCUUAAAGCUUAUAACCUCAUGACCUGUAUAGUAAAGUUUUUUUGGCCUUUCCUCUUUGUCUUUUCAUGUAGACCAGAUAUUUGAAAGGGCAGACGAUGGAUAAAUGUGUAAUGUGCAACCUGUUUAUUUUUUGGAAACUUGAACUUGGACCAGAACUCAAAUCACAAAAUCACCAGGCCA